rnacentral:rRNA from 1 species
UACGUAGGGGGCGAGCGUUGUCCGGAUUUAUUGGGCGUAAAGAGCUCGUAGGCGGUCUGUCGCGUCUGCUGUGAAAACUCAGGGCUUAACCCUGAGCUUGCAGUGGGUACGGCGAGACUAGAGUGCGGUAGGGGAGACUGGAAUUCCUGGUGUAGCGGUGAAAUGCGCAGAUAUCAGGAGGAACACCGAUGGCGAAGGCAGGUCUCUGGGCAGUUACUGACGCUGAGGAGCGAAAGCAUGGGGGAGCGAACAGG